rnacentral:rRNA from 1 species
AUUGAACGCUGGCGGCAGGCCUAACACAUGCAAGUCGAGCGGUAGAGAGAAGCUUGCUUCUCUUGGGAGCGGCGGACGGGUGAGUAAUGCCUAGGAAUCUGCCUGAUAGUGGGGGAUAACGUCCGGAAACGGACGCUAAUACCGCAUACGUCCUACGGGAGAAAGUGGGGGCUCUUCGGACCUCACGCUAUCAGAUGAGCCUAGGUCGGAUUAGCUAGUUGGUGGGGUAAAGGCUCACCAAGGCGACGAUCCGUAACUGGUCUGAGAGGAUGAUAGGUCACACUGGAAAUGAGACACGGUCCAGACUCCUACGGGAGGAAGGAGUGGGGAAUAUUGGAAAAUGGGCGAAAGCCUGCUCCAGCCAUGCCGCGUGUGUGAAGAAGGUCUUCGGAUUGUAAAGCACUUUAAGUUGGGAGGAAGGGUCGUUACCUAAUACGUGGCGAUUUUGACGUUACCGACAGAAUAAGCACCGGCUAACUCUGUGCCAGCAGCCGCCGUAACAC